AGCGAACGCUGGCGGCAGGCCUAACACAUGCAAGUCGAGCGCCCCGCAAGGGGAGCGGCAGACGGGCGAGUAACACGUGGGAACGUACCCUUCGGUUCGGAACAACCCAGGGAAACUUGGGCUAAUACCGGAUACGUCCGAAAGGAGAAAGAUUCAUCGCCGAGGGAUCGGCCCGCGUCUGAUUAGCUAGCUGGUGGGGUAACGGCCCACCAAGGCGACGAUCAGUAGCUGGUCUGAGAGGAUGAUCAGCCUCACUGGGACUGAGACACGGCCCAGACUCCUACGGGAGGCAGCAGUGGGGAAUAUUGGACAAUGGGCGCAAGCCUGAUCCAGCCAUGCCGCGUGGGUGAUGAAGGCCCUAGGGUUGUAAAGCCCUUUCGGCGGGGAAGAUAAUGACGGUACCCGCAGAAGAAGCCCCGGCUAACUUCGUGCCAGCAGCCGCCGUAA
rnacentral:rRNA from 1 species